GCAUCAUUGGUCUAGUGGUAAAAUUCAUCGUUGCCAUCGAUAAGGCCUGUGUUCGAUUCACGGAUGAUGUA
rfam:Aspergillus aculeatus ATCC 16872 unplaced genomic scaffold ASPACscaffold_3, whole genome shotgun sequence.